CCAACGACACCUAACAGUGAGGACGCCGUGUCUAGGACGUACUGGGAGACGCAACAAGGCUCAGAUCACUGUCUCCAAGCUCAUCCUCACAGCGUAACAGUGCCUCACCUCGCCCACCCCACCCAGCCCACCCCGCACAGUGUGAGGAAUGGCACCCAGCAGCGGGCGGGAGGAGCCGGGACGCGUGUGAGACAGAACCACACAGGACAGAAUGGCACAGGAGCCUCGAGAGGCCACGGGGCUGGGUUCCUGGCCUGUAAGAAGAAUCGGUGAAUCAGGACAGCCUCCUGGCCACGUAGAACUCGUUUUCCUCAAGAGUCACCGCGUGAAGGUCCACACUGAACAAAUCACUUGUGAAAUCUCAAGAUGAGCAGUCCAAUCAACAGCCCAAGGGACCAAGAGACUACUUCUGCUGAGUGAGCGCGACAGGUCUCUGGGAUGUUAACACACAGAGACCCUGCAUACAGUCGUGAGCCCCCCCCCCCCCCCCCCCCCCAUAUCAGCAGCAGACUGAAUGAAGAAGCCUAGGGCUCUGUGACACCUUCCUCACCACCGCCACCCACAUUUGCCCGCUUCCACUCCCUGUGCACGAGCGGAGAACAUUCACACAGUGCACAGACAGCGUAUCAGGGGAUGCUUCCAAGGUGUCCCCAGCUGUGUUUCUCAGCUGGGCCUCCCCCAGUCCUCGAGAGAACAUUUAUGGAGGUUUCGAUUCCAAUACUCCACUAAGAACAUCUAUGCAGUCCACAGGGCCCCACAUGCUUCUAGGACCCCUCUUAGCCAGCAGGAGCCCUUGUGAAUACAAAGAGGUUGGAAAUGGUUUGAACUCAUCCCCGGAGCAGGGAUCCCAGUCCACAACCGCCAAGGUCAGAAUAUGGUGCCACUCUGCAGCUUGGAGGCCUGGGCAGGCCCCAGGGCCUUUGCACUGAAGAAAGGAGUCUCCAGUACUUAAGUUCUGAUGGGAGGACUGGCUUCUUCAUUUCUCAAAGAACUUCCUCAUCGCUAAAUUUAUUAUUUACAACACAGCCCACACAUUUCUCUCUUCCAGGGGUUCUUGUAGGAGCAAUCCCCGGUCUCUUCGAGAAUCUUCGGCCCACAAAAUUCUCUGCACAGGGCCAGAUCACAGAGCUCACGUGCCAGAAAGGACUCAGCAUCACCUGGUCAAUGACCUGAAACCCCGCUGCUUACCACCAUCUCCGCUUCCAAUCUGAGAGCAGGUUCCACAGAAACUCGUCUUUGCUGGGUUCACGCCAGAGCUGGAGACGGAAGCUGGAGCUCCGGACCCCCCAUCGAGAAUCUUUUCAGACGAGCAAGAAGCUCAACGGCACAAGCCCCAGACAGCAACACGCAGCCUUUUCAGUAUUUCGAUAGACGUAUCAAGCUCCGUGAACGUUCCUUCCAACAGACGUUGGUCCCACGACACCCAGGAUCACGUUAGAAGGACAGGAGCAACCACGGCCAAUACUGCCGGGUACGCUGUUCUAACAGGCUUGUGCGCCCCAUCUCCUUGAGUCCUCUCAGCACCCUAAGAGCUAGCCUGGACACCGUUAUCACCCCCAUUGUAAGAAGAGGAGACUAAGACGCACAGAGAUGAUGGAACUCGCCCGGGUGACCCAGCAAGCGGGUGGCCGAGCUGAGACUCGAACCUAGCACGCUCUGGGUCCAGAGACCGGGCUGCUAAUUCCUUACGCGGACUCUCGAAACUCCAGGACCCAGUUCCAGGUGGUCCUCACCCAUGCAAACACGGAGGAGCCACAGAGCUUUAAAGUCGGAAGGAAGCAGAGAGAUCAAAUGAGAUUUGCUUUUGGAGAAGUGCAGGCUCAGCAGACACAGAGGCAUCACCCAUCUAUGAAAGAACCCCACGCAGCAUUUUGCCAAACGGCUCAGAGUUUCAGGAUAAAGCGAAACCCCGGGGACGGAGCCUUUCCAGCCAAAAUCAGCUUUGGCACAAAAGCAGGAAGUGAGAGGUCCACGUGCUCAGGCACAAACACCUGCCACCCGGCCACCACUUCCACAGCAAGCCCAGGCUCUGUGAGCAGCGCUGCAGCCCCCGGGCCUCGGGGAGGACGAGCAAACCCUUGCCGGGGGAGCACUGCAGAGAGAGUCUGACAGGCUUUAAAAGACGUGACGAGGAAGAACUGCUCCCCGUGGAUGUUACGCACGUGGAAAAAGGCCAGGACCAGAAACUCCGUUAGGAAGAAGGGUUAUCCAAGCCCAAAUAGAAAGGAUACGCCGUCUAAUCAUGUGGGCUUUUCAACUCAGCCCAAAUAUGUGGCAGAUAAGGACCAGACGACAUUUCCCUUGCUAGCAUCACAUAAAGGAAUCCCUCCGACCAGAAUCGCUUCAUUAUAAUUCCUUCCUGUCAACCGAUAAUUGUACCAUUCUACACAACAUAUAUCAUUCUGCGUCCGGUGUCCUGUAAGAUUCUCAAGAAGUCAUGGCUGCUUUGUCUCCCUAAAUUGAGGGCCCACCUUUGGUCUCAUUUGAAAACAUUGAUCUGUAUGUAGCUGGUGCUUAUGAAGAGGUGUUGGCUGUCUGUUCAAUGAGUGCUAAGUGUAAUGUAACCCAAACGGCUUUGGAAUUCUGUCUCAGCCUCCUCUCUGCAGCCGCCUACUUUUUCUAGGGCAGGGUAAUGGAAAUUAGUUCAAGAAACGGAAAAAGUGUGAUUUCAGUAACUCCACUGAGCUGGUUUCCCUCGGGAAAAGGACAGCUAAACUGACUAUUGCCAGAAAAUAAACAAGUGCUGUGUGCCCUCUA